rnacentral:rRNA from 1 species
CACGUAGGGCGCAAGCGUUGUCCGGAAUUAUUGGGCGUAAAGAGCUCGUAGGUGGUUUGUUACGUCUGCUGUGAAAUCCUAGGGCUUAACCCUGGGCUUGCAGUGGAUACGGGCAGACUAGAGGUAGGUAGGGGAGAAUGGAAUUCCUGGUGUAGCGGUGGAAUGCGCAGAUAUCAGGAAGAACACCGAUGGCGAAGGCAGGUCUCUGGGCCACUACUGACGCUGAGAAGCGAAAGCAUGGGGAGCGAACAGG